CAGUAGGGAAUCUUCCACAAUGGGCGCAAGCCUGAUGGAGCAACACCGCGUGAGUGAAGAAGGGUUUCGGCUCGUAAAGCUCUGUUGUUAAAGAAGAACGCGUAUGAGAGUAACUGUUCAUACGUUGACGGUAUUUAACCAGAAAGUCACGGCUAACUACGUGCCAG
rnacentral:rRNA from 1 species